rnacentral:tRNA from 2 species
GCCGACGUAGCUUAGCUGGUAGAGCAGUCGAUUCGUAAUCGACAGGUCAUCAGUUCGAAUCUGAUCGUCGGCU